rnacentral:rRNA from 1 species
AUUGAACGCUGGCGGCAGGCUUAACACAUGCAAGUCGAGCGGAGCGAGGGUGCUUGCACCUUAGCUUAGCGGCGGACGGGUGAGUAAUGCUUAGGAAUCUGCCUAUUAGUGGGGGACAACAUUCCGAAAGGAAUGCUAAUACCGCAUACGCCCUACGGGGGAAAGCAGGGGAUCUUCGGACCUUGCGCUAAUAGAUGAGCCUAAGUGGGAUUAGCUAGUUGGUGGGGUAAAGGCCUACCAAGGCGACGAUCUGUAGCGGGUCAGAGAGGAUGAUCCGCCACACUGGGACGGAGACACGGCCCAGACUCCUACGGGAGGCAGCAGUGGGGAAUAUUGGACAAUGGGCGGAAGCCUGAUCCAGCCAUGCCGCGUGUGUGAAGAAGGCCUUUUGGUUGUAAAGCACUUUAAGCGAGGAGGAGGCUCUUAAGGUUAAUACCCUUGAUGAGUGGACGUUACUCGCAGAAUAAGCACCGGCUAACUCUGUGCCAGCCGCCGCAGUAAUAC